GAUGAACGCUGGCGGCGUGCCUAAUACAUGCAAGUCGAGCGAACAGACGAGGAGCCUGCUCCUCUGACGUUAGCGGCGGACGGGUGAGUAACACGUGGAUAACCUACCUAUAAGACUGGGAUAACUUCGGGAAACCGGAGCUAAUACCGGAUAAUAUUUUGAACCGCAUGGUUCAAUAGUGAAAGACGGUUUUGCUGUCACUUAUAGAUGGAUCCGCGCUGCAUUAGCUAGUUGGUAAGGUAACGGCUUACCAAGGCAACGAUGCGUAGCCGACCUGAGAGGGUGAUCGGCCACACUGGAACUGAGACACGGUCCAGACUCCUACGGGAGGCAGCAGUAGGGAAUCUUCCGCAAUGGGCGAAAGCCUGACGGAGCAACGCCGCGUGAGUGAUGAAGGUCUUCGGAUCGUAAAACUCUGUUAUUAGGGAAGAACAAAUGUGUAAGUAACUAUGCACGUCUUGACGGUACCUAAUCAGAAAGCCACGGCUAACUACGUG
rnacentral:rRNA from 1 species